AAGCUCUUAGCUCAAUUGGUUCAGAGCAUCCCGACUUUACGUCGGGAGAGUCACUGGUUCGAAUCCAGUAGAGCCCA
rnacentral:tRNA from 1 species